rnacentral:lncRNA from 1 species
GUGACACGGGGUGUCAGCGGUGACACCGUGGGGGUGGCGGGGACGCGGUGACGGUGACACCCUGGUGGUGACAGUGAUGGUGACACAACAGUGACCGUGACCCCGGGUGACCCCUGGGUGACCCCUGGGUGACCCCAAUGACCUCUGGGUGACCCCUAGAUGACCUCUGGGUAACCCCAAUGACCCCUGAGUGACCCCAGUGACCCCUGAGUGACCCCAAUGACCUCUGGGUGACCCUUGACUGACCCCAAUGACCCUUGAAUGACCCCUGAGUGACCCCAGUGACCCCUGGGUGACCCCAAUGACCCCUGAGUGACCCCAAUGAGUGACCCCAAUGACCCCCGGGUGACCCCUGUAUAACCCCCGGCUGUUCCCCGGCUGUUCCCCCUCCCCCCGCUGCCCAGGUGCUGUUGGCCCUGCCCGGGGCGGCUGUUCCCGUGUCCCUCCCCCCGCGGCCGCUGCCGGGAGAGCUGCGAGUGCGCCUGAGACCGGUCAGACUGUACUGGUUUAUACUGGGAGGGACUGGGGGGGACUGGUUUAUACUGGGAGGGGAUGGGGAGGGACUGGGGGGGACUGGGAGGGACUGGGAGGGGCUGGGAGGGGACUGGUUUAUACUGGGAGGGACUGGGGGGGAACUGGGACCGAACUGGGGGGAACUGGUUUAUAGUGGGAGUCAAACUGGGAGCACUGGGAGGGGCUGGGAGGGACUGGUUUAUACUGGGAGGGGAUUGGGGGGGAACUGGGACAUACUGGGAGGGAACUGGGACAAACUGGGAUGAACUGGGAUUGACUGAGAGGGAACUGGGAGGGAGCUGCCACAUACUGGUUUAUACUGGGAUGGAACUGGGAGGGAACUGGGGGGAACUGGUUUAUACUGGGAGUCAAACUGGGAGCACUGGGAGGGAACUGGGAGGGACUGGGAUGGACAACCACUGGUCCAUACUGGUUUAUACUGGUUUAUACUGGUCUAUACUGGUUUAUAAUGGUCUAUACUGGUCCGUACUGGUUUAUACUGGUCUGUACUGGUUUAUACUGGUCCGUACUGGUUUCCAGCCCCAGGAACUGGUGCUGGAAUGGGAACCCCUGGAGGGGAACUGGGAACUCCCCGAGGAGACGGAGCCGCCCGACCCCGGCUUUGAGCCCGACUGGGCCGUGCUGAGCCCCCCCCGGCCCCGCCCCGGUACCACAGUGCAGGGGGAAUUUGGGAAUUUGGGACAAAUUGGGGAAAUUUUGGGGAUCUGGGGGAGUUUUGGGGGAAAUUUGGGGAAAAUUUGGGGGAAAUUUGGGGUAAAUUUGGGGGAAAAUUUGGGAAAAUUGGGGGAAUUUUGGGGGAAAAUUUGGGGAAAAUUUGGGGAAAAUUUGGGAAUUUUGGGGAAAUUGUGGAGAAAAUUUGGGGAAAAUUCAGGAAUUUUGGGGGAAAUUUGGGGAAAAAUUUAGGAAAUUUUGGGGGGAAUUCUGGGGGAAAUUUGGGGGGAAUUUGGGGAAAUUUGGGAAAUAUUUGGGGAAUUUUGGGCGAAAUUCGGGGUAAAUUUAGUGAAAAUUUGGGAAUUUGGGGGGAAUUUGGGGAAAUUUGGGACAUUUUGGGGAUUUGGGGGAAAAUUUGGGAAAACUGGGGGAAUUUUUUGGGAAAUUUGGGGAAAAUUUGGGGAAAUUUGGGGAAUUUUGGGGAUUUGGGGGAAUUUUUGGGGAAAUUUGGGGUAAAUUUGGGGAAAAUUUGGGGGGAAUGUCAGGGAAAAUUGGGGAAUUCUGGGGAAAUUUGGGGAUUUGGGGGGAAUGUUGGGGAAAAUUUGGAGAAAAUUUGGGGAAAAUUUGGGGAAUUUUGGGGAUUUGGGGGAAUUUUUGGGGAAAUUUGGGGGGAAUGUCAGGGAAAAUUGGGGAAUUUUGGGGAUUUGGGGGGAAUUUUUGGGAAAUUUUGCGGAUUUUGGUGGAAAUUUGGGAAAAUGUGGGAAAAAUUGGGGGACAUUUGGGGGGAUUUUGGGGGAAUUUCUGGGAAAAUUGGGGAAUUUGGGGAAAAUUUGGGGAUUUGGGGGGAAUUUUGGGAAUUUGGGGGACUUUUGGGGUAAAUUAUGGGAAAAUUUAGGGGAUUUGGGGGGAAUUU